rnacentral:piRNA from 1 species
UCUGAAUCCGUUAAACAGAGGUGGUUCGUU